rnacentral:rRNA from 1 species
CAGUAGCCGCGGUAAAACGAAGGGUGCAAGCGUUACUCGGAUUUACUGGGCGUAAAGCGUGCGUAGGCGGCUUUUUAAGUCGGAUGUGAAAUCCCUGAGCUUAACUUAGGAAUUGCAUUCGAUACUGGGAAGCUAGAGUAUGGGAGAGGAUGGUAGAAUUCCAGGUGUAGCGGUGAAAUGCGUAGAGAUCUGGAGGAAUACCGAUGGCGAAGGCAGCCAUCUGGCCUAAUACUGACGCUGAGGUACGAAAGCAUGGGGAGCAAACAGGAUUAGAUACCCCAGUAGUCCCUGUCUCUUAUAC